CUGAGCUAGUGAUGAUACAAGUUAUCCCUGUCUGAAGUUAUCUUUCCCCUGUGGAAGCAUGACUCUGAGGCUCAG